AGUGAACGCUGGCGGUAGGCCUAACACAUGCAAGUCGAACGGCAGCACAGUAAGAGCUUGCUCUUACGGGUGGCGAGUGGCGGACGGGUGAGGAAUACAUCGGAAUCUACUUUUUCGUGGGGGAUAACGUAGGGAAACUUACGCUAAUACCGCAUACGACCUACGGGUGAAAGCAGGGGAUCUUCGGACCUUGCGCGAUUGAAUGAGCCGAUGUCGGAUUAGCUAGUUGGCGGGGUAAAGGCCCACCAAGGCGCCGAUCCGUAGCUGGUCUGAGUGGAUGAUCGCCCACACUGGAGCGGAGACACGGACCUGACUCCUACGGGAGGCAGCAGUGGCGAAUAUUGGACAAUGGUCGCAAGCCUGGUCCAGCCAUACCGCGUGGGUGAAGGAGGCCUUCGGGUUGUAAAGCCCGUUUGUUGGGAAAGAAAAGCAGCAGGUUAAUACCCCGCGGUUCUGACGGUACCCAAAGAAUAAGCACCGGCUAACUUCGUG
rnacentral:rRNA from 1 species